rnacentral:rRNA from 1 species
UGGGGAAUUUUGGACAAUGGGGGCAACCCUGAUCCAGCAAUGCCGCGUGUGUGAAGAAGGCCUUCGGGUUGUAAAGCACUUUUGUCCGGAAAGAAAACGUCGUGGUUAAUACCCGUGGCGGCUGACGGUACCGGAAGAAUAAGCACCGGCUAACUACGUGCCAGCAGCCGCGGUAAUACGUAGGGUGCAAGCGUUAAUCGGAAUUACUGGGCGUAAAGCGUGCGCAGGCGGUCCGCUAAGACAGAUGUGAAAUCCCCGGGCUUAACCUGGGAACUGCAUUUGUGACUGGCGGGCUAGAGUAUGGCAGAGGGGGGUAGAAUUCCACGUGUAGCAGUGAAAUGCGUAGAGAUGUGGAGGAAUACCGAUGGCGAAGGCAGCCCCCUGGGCCAAUACUGACGCUCAUGCACGAAAGCGUGGGGGAGCAAAACAGGAUUAGAUACCCUGGUAGUCCACGCCCUAAACGAUGUCAACUAGUUGUCGGGUCUUCAUUGACUUGGUAACGUAGCUAACGCGUGAAGUUGACCGCCUGGGGAGUACGGUCGCAAGAUUAAAACUCAAAUGAAUUGACGGGGUCAUAGCUGUUUCCUG